rnacentral:lncRNA from 1 species
CAUGAGUAAUAGCUUAAACACUAAAUUCUUAGAAAAUAUAAUGAUCCUUAUUGACGGGGGUAUUGUUAAUUAUGCUAAAUCUAAAUCAUUAGAGAGCGGCAUGAUUGGAAUAAAACCAAGGUCUUCUCAUGAUCGAGAGUCGAAUUUUACCCACAACAUUAAUUUUAGCUGGUAAUUAUAAAUUGUGAUGGCGUGUAGAUACAAAAAUUAUGAAAGAAAAAGAAGGUUA